CAGCCGCCGCGGGAAUACGUAGGGUGCGAGCGUUAAUCGGAAUUACUGGGCGUAAAGCGUGCGCAGGCGGUUUUGUAAGACAGGCGUGAAAUCCCCGGGCUCAACCUGGGAAUGGCGCUUGUGACUGCAAAGCUAGAGUGCGGCAGAGGGGGAUGGAAUUCCGCGUGUAGCAGUGAAAUGCGUAGGUAUGCGGAGGAACACCGAUGGCGAAGGCAAUCCCCUGGGCCUGCACUGACGCUCAUGCACGAAAGCGUGGGGAGCAAACAGGAUUAGAUACCCGGGUAGUCCCUGUCUCUUAUAC
rnacentral:rRNA from 1 species